rnacentral:rRNA from 1 species
AUUGAACGCUGGCGGCAGGCCUAACACAUGCAAGUCGAGCGGAUGAAGGGAGCUUGCUCCUGGAUUCAGCGGCGGACGGGUGAGUAAUGCCUAGGAAUCUGCCUGGUAGUGGGGGAUAACGUCCGGAAACGGGCGCUAAUACCGCAUACGUCCUGAGGGAGAAAGUGGGGGAUCUUCGGACCUCACGCUAUCAGAUGAGCCUAGGUCGGAUUAGCUAGUUGGUGGGGUAAAGGCCUACCAAGGCGACGAUCCGUAACUGGUCUGAGAGGAGGAUCAGUCACACUGGAACUGAGACACGGUCCAGACUCCUACGGGAGGCAGCAGUGGGGAAUAUUGGACAAUGGGCGAAAGCCUGAUCCAGCCAUGCCGCGUGUGUGAAGAAGGUCUUCGGAUUGUAAAGUACUUUAAGUUGGGAGGAAGGGCAGUAAGUUAAUACCGUGCUGUUGUGACGUUACCAACAGAGUAAGCACCGGCUAACUUCGUG